UGCCAGCCGCCGCGGUAACACGAACCGGACGAACGUUAUUCGGACUUAUUGGGCUUAAAGGGUGCGUAGGCGGCGAUGUAGGUGGGGUGUGAAAUCCCUCGGCUCAACCGAGGAACUGCGCCCCAAACCACAUGGCUAGAGGGAGACAGAGGUAAGCGGAACUGAUGGUGGAGCGGUGAAAUGCGUUGAUAUCAUCAGGAACACCGGUGGCGAAGGCGGCUUACUGGGUCUCUUCUGACGCUGAGGAACGAAAGCUAGGGGAGCGAACGGGAUUAGAUA
rnacentral:rRNA from 1 species